ensembl:rRNA 5S_rRNA 5S ribosomal RNA
GUCUACGGCCAUACCACCCUGAACGAGCCUGAUCUCGUCUGAUCUCAGAAGCUAAGCAGGGUCGGGUCUGGUCAGUACUUGGAUGGGAGAAGUUUGUCUUUCGACC